CAAAACUACAGGCCACACAAAGUGGAAACACAGUUACUAGUACAACUGUUGCUAGCCAGUGGUCAGUGUAAAUGAGUUACUCCAGGUUGCAGUCAACACAAGCUAAGGACACUCACUACAUGUAUAUACUGCAACAACACAGCAUUGGAACACGAACCUCACCCCAGAAAUAGAGGUUGCAGUCAACACACAAGCUAAGAACAUCACUAUAAUUAUACUGCAACAACACAUUGGAACACGAACCUCACACCUCACUCCCCAGAGAAAGAUCGCUAAAUGAAUUCACGUACCUUAAAGCAUUUUGUGUGCAGUAACGAUCACCCUGGAAUAAUGGACACGACCUUGACACAACCACUGAUAGAGCUAGAGCCAGAGCCAGAGCCAUCCAAAGAAGCAGAAGAUGGAUCCACACAAGACGUCACCAUCAUAGUGCCUUCAUUAACGAGGGAGCAGUCCACAGAGUCUAACAGUUACACUCCACAUCGUAAGAGAUUUAAAUCAUCUGACUCCAUUGACGAAGACGACAGUGGCACCGAGGGCACAGCAGUUUGUUUGCAGCUACCACACACGAUGUCUUCACAAACUUCACACAGUAGUUCUUCGUCAACCAGCUCAGUUUCAGCAACUGCUGCUUCUGUUACAAGAAAUAUAAGCAGAGAAAACAGCAUUCGAGAACGCUCUCUGCAAGAAAGAUCACAGGUCCCAAGAAGACGUCCGACAGCUCUGUUCCCACUAGGGAGACAAGAGUUGCGUGAGGGAGGUCAUCCUGCUGAGAUGGUGACUCCAGAGGCAACGCCAGUGAAGACGAACAAUGGCAUCAUUCAUAUCGUGGGACUGGUGACUAUCUCCCCAGUAAUACUAUGUCAUACAGACAAUAAUAAUGUACUGCAAAAUAACCCUAGGCAAUAUAGAAGAGCACAUAGUUGUUAAGCACUUUAAAAAUUUAUUUGGCGCACGUAUAAGCACAAUAAGUAUCACGAUGUUAUUACCGUGUUCAUUAAGUUAUGUUUGCAAUGAGGGGUACAUUUAGAUUCGAUUGU